GAUGAAGAACGCAGCGAAAUGCGAUACGUAAUGUGAAUUGCAGAAUUCAGUGAAUCAUCGAGUCUUUGAACGCACAUUGCGCCCCCUGGUAUUCCGGGGGGCAUGCCUGUCCGAGCGUCAUUGCUGCCCUCAGGCACGGCUUGUGUGUUGGGCCUCCGUCCUCCUCCCGGGGGACGGGCCCGAAAGGCAGCGGCGGCACCGCGUCCGGUCCUCGAGCGUAUGGGGCUUCGUCACCCGCUCUUGUAGGCCCGGCCGGCGCUUGCCGACACAUCAAUCUUUUUUCCAGGUUGACCUCGGAUCAGGUAGGGAUACCCGCUGAACUUAAGCAUAUCAAUAAGCGGAGGA
rnacentral:misc_RNA from 1 species